rnacentral:rRNA from 1 species
GAUGAACGCUAGCGGCAGGCUUAAUACAUGCAAGUCGUGGGGCAGCAUGAGUGUAGCAAUACAUUUGAUGGCGACCGGCAAACGGGUGCGGAACACGUACACAACCUUCCUUCAAGUGGGGAAUAGCCCAGGGAAACUUGGAUUAAUACCCCGUAACAUUAUGGAGUGGCAUCACUUUAUAAUUAUAGCUCCGGCGCUUGAUGAUGGGUGUGCGCCUGANAGGUAGUUGGCGGGGUAACGGCCCACCAAGCCUUCGAUCAGUAACUGGUGUGAGAGCACGACCAGUCACGACGGGCACUGAGACACGGGCCCGACUCCUACGGGAGGCAGCAGUAAGGAAUACUGGUCAAUGGACGC